GAAAAAGCAAGAACAAGUAGAGAUAACUAGUGCAUAAGUUCCCAAGCAAGGAGACUAAGUCUCAGGUAGGAUGACCAAAGAUAUGUGCAAUAAUAGGUACCAAGGUUUCCUGUAUAGUACCUGCAGCUAAAUAAUUGAUCGAUCUUGUGAGAUUCAUGAGAAGCUUUGGUCUCUAGCAGACAGGGUAACAGGCAUAAAAAG